rnacentral:lncRNA from 1 species
CCAAGGGGAGUGGCACGUACUCUGCGAGGGGCCUGGGUGUCCAGGAGAGGCUGGGGCUUAGCGAGAGGCUCUGGGGCUCCAGGAGGCAGUGGAGGCUCUGCAGGGGGGGCGGGGCGAGAGCUCUGCUGGGGAGUCUGGGGGCUCUCUGCCAUGAGAGGAGAGGGCUCCCACAAAGAGAUGGGGGCUCAGAGAAGAGGUAUGGGCUCUGAGAGAGGGGGAUUUGUGAGGAGAUUGGGGGUCUUGAGGGAACAAAGGCUCGAAGAGGGAACAGGGGCUCAGGGACGGGAUCAAAGACUAAAUGGGGGGCAGAGGCUUUGGGAAGCAGACAGGGCUGUGUAAGAGCUGGGGGCUCAGAGAGAGAUGUUUGCUUGUGAAGGGAAGGAGGCUGAGUGAGGGGCUGUUUUCAGAACUAAGGGGCCCUACUGUGCUCUGGCUCAUCCCAGCCACAGGCUUGUCUGCCUCCCCGCAAGUUCCCUUCGCCUUGGUCCUCCUCUCUUCCACUCCCCUACCGUUCUUCAAGGCAAGUCCUGAGUCCUUUUCCACCCACGGCUCCAUCGGUGCCCCAGUCUACACUCAUGCCCUCUAAGUCACCCCUAUAGAUUUCGUUUACCCCUUUAGCCCAAACACAUGAUCAGAAGGUACUUCAGAUACCUGUAAUGAUCACUAAGGUAGUCCUCCCUGCAAGCUAACCACAAUCCCUCCAGCUGCAAGUACAGCCAAUGUCCUCUAUUCUAUCCUGGGAAUAGAACACACCUUCUUUCGGGGCACCCCCUAUAACUUUAGCGACAGAUGGAGGCCUCUCAAAUUUCUUUUUUUCAGGUACAAGAAUUCUGGUCCCUUUCAUUGGCUCUUCUAAUCACUAUCUUCAUUAUCAAGCUAGCAAAAUAUUUUACCAGAGCCUGGCACAUUGUAGGCUCACAAGAAAUGUAGCGCAGAUGAAUGAAUAAGUUGGAGGAUUAUAGAUGGAUGAGUGUGGACAAAUGGGCAGCAGAAGAUGGAAAGAAUGGCAGUGGAGCUGCUUGGAAGCUAGAAGAAUUCCUAGGAGCCUCUUGGCCUCGGACCCUGGCUGCAUCUCCCAGGAACUCCCUGUUGUCCCUGAAUACAGGAUUUCAGCUCCUGGCUCCUGUGGGCUCUGCUGUGAGGCCGCAGUCCUAUGUCUGUGGUCCCCUGAAUCUGUCCAGCCCAUCACUGCCCAUCAUCUUGUCUGCCCACUGACCUGGAUCCAUCUGCCUCAGCUGCUCAUCCAUCAGCCUGCCCGGGCCCCUCCACCUUGUGUCCCCCUGCCUGCCCGGUACCUGUCACUCUGCCCAUCACGCACACACACAGAGUCCACCUCCCCACCCCUGGCACCUUUCUCUGCAAGCACCACAGUGACAACAGAGAUGGGGGGGCUAUUUCGCUCCUAGAGAAGCCCAGUGUUAACAUCGGAACCUGCUUUCUGGGGACGAAAACAGUUCUUGGCCAUCCGGCAUCCUCUUCCUUCCCCUGGGGACCCCCAGCCCCUCCUUUCUGGGCCCCAGGGCUUCUGCUUGAGGAAUCUGGUCAGGGCCACGUGCCUCCUGCCAAAAAUGUCCGAGUGGUCCCCAAGGAAAUCAUCGGACAAGAGCAUGAAGGCGUGUGUA